GACAGAGGGUGCGAACGUUGUUCGGAAUUACUGGGCGUAAAGCGCAUGUAGGCGGCAGCGCAAGUCGGGCGUGAAAUCCCACGGCUCAACCGUGGAAGUGCACUCGAAACUGCGCAGCUAGAGUCCUGGAGAGGAAGGUGGAAUGCUUGGUGUAGAGGUGAAAUUCGUAGAUAUCAAGCGGAACACCGGUGGCGAAGGCGGCCUUCUGGACAGUGACUGACGCUGAGAGUGCGAA
rnacentral:rRNA from 1 species